UGCUUGAGUAACCAAACAGCGAAUCGUUCAAAUAGGUAUUAUUCCUGACAAGCCUUCUCAUGCUAUUUUCAAUACCUUAAAUUUAUUCAUGAUGUGUAAAAAAAAGAUGACGUGGAGACAGGAUAAUAGUAUUCAUUCAUUCAUUCAUCCUCCGAGCCGCUUAAUCCUCACUAGGGUCACGGGGGGUUGCUGGAGCCUAUCCCAGCUGUCUUCGGGCAGUAGGCGGGGGACACCCUGAAUCGGUUGCCAGCCAAUCGCAGGGCACACAGAAACGAACAACCAUGCGCACUCACACUCACACCUAGGGACAAUUUAGAGUGUUCAAUCAGCCUGCCACGCAUGUUUUUGGAAUGUGGGAGGAAACCGGAGCACCCGGAGAAAACCCACGCAGGCCCGGGGAGAACAUGCAAACUCCACACAGGGAGGCCGGAGCUGGAAUCGAACCUGGUACCUCUGCACUGUGAAGCCCACGUGCUAACCACUGGACUACCGGGACGCCUAUUAUAUAAUAUAAUACAUAUAUACUGUAUAUAGUUAGUUUUUGUUUUCAUUGUCGGGUAAAUGAAAAAAUCAAACAGAAUGUCCGCUCUAUACGGUACAUUUUUGUUCUGCAAGGCACACCGAUAACCGUAUAGAUGCUGAAA